GUUUAUAGCUCAAGGUAUGAUACUUUCAAACGUAUCAAUAUUAUACAUUUCAAAUUGAUUAAAAAAAAAUAUAUAAACGUGGCAAUCUUGCAUUCAGAUCUGAAAGUGACGGAUAUGUUGUUGGAAUUUACGUAGAUAAGUCAAUACCAUCAAAUUGCCUAACAGCUUAUCAAUACAAAUGUACUUAAUGAUGAAGGCGUGAUGAAAUUGAGUACAGAAACAUCAUAGGAAUAUAUUUUGCAAACAUUUUCAUACUCUGGUAUCUUUCUCAAAAUCAGACAUCAACCUUUAUGUAUCAAAAAAUACCGUAAAUGGAUAGUUAAAAAAUCAAAAUCUUUAACAUUCUGAUCAGCAGCAGAUUCAGCCACAGAACCAUUAUCUUCAAAUUAAAAAAAGCAAUAACUUAAUAUAUUCAAGUCUUGUUGUAUUAAUUUGAAUAAGGUAAAUAUAUAUUAAACAUUGCUUAUUAAUGAUCCAUGAUUAAUAUGGCUCCAACACAAAGUGAUCAAGACCAUAUAGUUUUACCCUUUAUCAUUCUCUCUAUUAUUCUGCAACGAAUAAUUAUA
rnacentral:lncRNA from 1 species